UACGGAGGGUGCAAGCGUUAAUCGGAAUUACUGGGCGUAAAGCGCACGCAGGCGGUCUGUCAAGUCGGAUGGGAAAUCCCCGGGCUCAACCUGGGAACUGCAUUCGAAACUGGCAGGCUAGAGUCUUGUAGAGGGGGGUAGAAUUCCAGGUGUAGCGGUGAAAUGCGUAGAGAUCCGGAGGAACACCAAAGGCGAAGGCAGUGUCCUGGGGAGUACCUGACGCUCAGGUGCGAAAGCCAGGGGAGCGAACGGG
rnacentral:rRNA from 1 species